rnacentral:rRNA from 1 species
UUGAACGCUGCCGGCAGGCCUAACACAUGCAAGUCGAGCGGAAACGAUGGAAGCUUGCUUCCAGGCGUCGAGCGGCGGACGGGUGAGUAAUGCAUAGGAAUCUGCCCGAUAGUGGGGGAUAACCUGGGGAAACCCAGGCUAAUACCGCAUACGUCCUACGGGAGAAAGCAGGGGAUCUUCGGACCUUGCGCUAUCGGAUGAGCCUAUGUCGGAUUAGCUAGUUGGUGAGGUAACGGCUCACCAAGGCCGCGAUCCGUAGCUGGUCUGAGAGGAUGAUCAGCCACAUCGGGACUGAGACACGGCCCGAACUCCUACGGGAGGCAGCAGUGGGGAAUAUUGGACAAUGGGCGAAAGCCUGAUCCAGCCAUGCCGCGUGUGUGAAGAAGGCUUUCGGGUUGUAAAGCACUUUCAGUGGGGAAGAAAUCCUCGGGGCCAAUACCCUCGAGGGAGGACAUCACCCACAGAAGAAGCACCGGCUAACUCCGUGCCAGCAGCCGCGGUAAUACGGAGGGUGCGAGCGUUAAUCGGAAUUACUGGGCGUAAAGCGCGCGUAGGCGGCGUGAUAAGCCGGUUGUGAAAGCCCCGGGCUCAACCUGGGAACGGCAUCCGGAACUGUCAGGCUAGAGUGCAGGAGAGGAAGGUAGAAUUCCCGGUGUAGCGGUGAAAUGCGUANAGAUCGGGAGGAAUACCAGUGGCGAAGGCGGCCUUCUGGACUGACACUGACGCUGAGGUGCGAAANGCGUGGGUAGCAAACAGGAUU